AUAUGACCUUUUUGAGCUAACCAAGGUUAUUAUGCCAUUUUUUUUUUACCUAACUAAGCUAAUUAUGUCAUUUUGGAUGAAAAUAAGCUAACUAUGUGAAAUUUAUGAUGUAACAAAUGUUCUUAUGCCAUUUUUUACCUAAGUAAACUAAUUAUGUCAUUUUAGAGGAAAACAAGCUAAGUAUAUAACAUUUAUGAGCUUACCAAGGUUCUUACGCCAUUUUGAGAUUAUUAUGUCAUUUAGGAGGAAGAUACGCUAAGUUAUGAGCUAACCAAGGUUCUUGUUAUGUUUUUACCUAACUAAGGUAAUUAUCUCAUUUUUUGAGCUAAAUUAGCUAAUUAUGUCAUUUCGGAGUUAAAUUAGCUAAUUAUGUCAUUUUGGUUCUAAAUUAGCUAAUUAUGUCCUUGUUGGGUAAAAUAAGGUAAGUGGAAGAAGAAAGAGGAGAAGAAAGAGGNNN
rnacentral:lncRNA from 1 species